UGAAAUAGGGAGAACCAGGCGGCUGGUUAAUGUUUUAUUUUUUAUUUGUUCUUUAUGGAUAUAUAUGGUACACGGUAAUGAAAUGUAGACAAGGCAACAGCUUAUGGAUUGUGUAGGUGAUGAUUGUUCGUAUCUUUGAAUUCUAGGAGGCUAAAUACUGAUGUUAGCAUGCAUGGUUGGGAGACACAGGUAGUUUUGACAUGUUUCUAUUAUUGGGAGGACUCUGAAUUCAUGGGAACAAAAUUGUUGAGUGUCAGAGGUACUCUAAGAGGCUGAAUGAGAAACAGAUUGUUAUACAGACCAUUCAUCACAAUGCUUACCGUGAACACCAUUAUGCCAGAGAGCUGGAAUUAAAAUCAGUGAAAAGCUUGCUUGGGUUGAAGCACAUUCUUUGUGCACCAUGGUUCCCCCUGCAUAUUAUGCCCAUGUUGCUGCCGAUCCGAGCUUACUUCUAUUGGAGCUGAGACUUCUGACACCAGAUCAAUGACCAGCGGUGCUGCUGCAGGUGUGGAGGCAUGGGAGGAAGUGCGGGUGCACGAGGCACGCAGGCACCAGGUCUGAAUGCUGCUUUAAGGUCCUUGCCUGAAGGCUAUGCAAUGCUGAAAACAAAAAA